CACUCUGACUCUCUCUGGUUCUUCCCCUUUUCUCUCGUUCUCUGUCGAGCCUUGCGGUCGAGCUUCCCUGAUUUGAUGCCGUCCUCCCCAAAUUGGUGCAGCUGGCCGCUCGUCGGCGCUCCCCCCGUCCCGCUCUGCCGGCACCCUGCAGCUGUGUUGCCUCCUUGCGGCCUGCUGCGCCGUUGCGCCAAACCUAACCCGAGCACGGGAGGAGAGUGGGGCACGGAGGCAAGCCGGUGGCUCUGAUACCGUCGGCGAUUGUCUUCCUACAGACUUCGCUCCAAGGAAGGAGGUCGCCAACCGGCAGGGGCGUGGAGCGACAGGACCCGAGGCGCCAUCAUCAGUGCUAGGACGAAGGCGUAGCAGCCCCCUGGUGCAACGAAACGGCGGAAGCGGUUGUUGAUCGACCACAGUUGGAUCCCUGGCGGUGGUAGCCACGAGCCCGCGACUUCUGUCAUCCCAUCGCCGCUCGGCGGAAGUUUGGCACAGAGACUCUCGAGUUGAGAUUGACGCAGCGGUACCCGUCACAUGGAGUGAGGGAAAGAAGUUUUGCUGCUUUCUAUCUGAACAUUUGCAAUUUUGAAGAAGAGGUUGUUAACUCAUGUAAGAAGAAAAGGAAGAGAAUCAUUACCAUCAGGGGACCUGAAGGGCCAUGUUGCCAAAGACUGCGCGACUCCAAGUAUACGGCCCCUAAGGAAGGUAACUGGAAAAGAGCCAUUGGACCAAAAAUCCCGCAGCCUGGCCUCUCCCAUGGCACCAGCGCGGACGCCCUUGGCGGAUCAUGUUGGGCAGCCCCAUCCAUCUUCACAACUACAAAAACAAAUGCAAGUGAUGCAAUGGCUGGCUUCAAAGACGCACAACAAUGAAACAAACCAAAUCAUCAGGUGGUACCGAUCACACCGAAAUUUGUUGUUACCUGAGAACCAAAAAUUCACACAUUAGAAGCUUUGGAUCCAUGAACACAAUUUUUAGAACUUGUAGAAUCAAGAACGCACAAAAUAAACAUUGCAUCAAUUUUGCAUUAGCUCAACUUGUAACUCAUGCAUAAACAGAAUACAUGGUGGUUAUUGUAAUCUACUUUUGCAGAGCUGUAUGCCUCAGUUUGAGUGCAAACUACCUAGAGAGAGGAUAAGAAGCUAGCAACCGAGCCAGCUUGUUGGCCAUCAAGCCGGGCCAGCAGGCAUCCCGACCAACGGCGAGCUUAACCUCCGCAGUCCCUGUCCCCAAAUCAUCCUGGUGACCAAUUGUCGUUCGGGUAAGCAGGAUGGACAGGCCGAGGAUGUGACGAAUCACACGGAAAUUGCUAAAGAGCAUCGAAGAUGGGUCGCUGGAGAGGCAGGAUGCCGCUGGAAGCCAUGGAUGGAGGUAGGGGCGACAUGAACUGAGGGGCGACAGGAGAGGGACUGGAGGACAGCGAGAGGACCAGAGACAGCCACUGAGCCUCGCUCGGCAAGCCGGCCACCACUCCCCCCGCCACCACUCCCUCUCGCCGGUCGGACACGCUGGGAGGAUGCGGGAACCAUGGGGAAGAGGCACGACCAGCAACCCAAUCCGGCCACUCGGCCUCGAAUCAUGUGGAAGCAGUAUGCGGCGUGAGUGUCUAGGGACGGCCGGCCGGCCGGCAACGCGGGGAAGCAGAUUGGUGGUAGUAGGGCAAAGACCGCCUGCAAAAAGGUGGGCGCCGUCCAAGGGAAGGGGAUGAAUAAGAAGAUAUCGUAAGAAAGAAGAAGGGAGAGGUGGAUCCUGCCACCGCUUUUACCGAAACUGCUAGAGAAAAUACGUGGCUGUUGGACCUGCAACCGGUAACCGGUUGCCCAUCAACCAAAAGAAAAGGUAACCAGUCAAAUAAAUCUACUGGGCCAUAGAAAAGAAGGGUACGUGUCUUGCAAGGAUUGAAAGAAAGAGCAGAUAAUUUGUACAUCUACAGUGCCUUAUGAUGCCCCGAUCAACCAGGAGACGCUAAACUGUACAACUUUUAUAUAGUAGAUAAUUUGGAGAGAAUGAAGGUUUGAGGUAACAUAUUUUUAGAGAAGUUUGUGCUAUCUUCAUCACAAAAUUUCUUCGGUUUAGGAAGUGCUUGUUUGGCUUGGACCCGAUCUGACUUCGUUCGUAGGCCCCAACUAUUAUUCACUAAUUCAGCCUCAUCA